GACGAACGCUGGCGGCGUGCUUAACACAUGCAAGUCGAACGGAAAGGCCCUGCUUUUGUGGGGUGCUCGAGUGGCGAACGGGUGAGUAACACGUGAGUAACCUGCCCUUGACUUUGGGAUAACUUCAGGAAACUGGGGCUAAUACCGGAUAGGAGCUCCUGCUGCAUGGUGGGGGUUGGAAAGUUUCGGCCGUUGGGGAUGGACUCGCGGCUUAUCAGCUUGUUGGUGGGGUAGCGGCUUACCAAGGCUUUGACGGGUAGCCGGCCUGGGAGGGUGACCGGCCACAUUGGGACUGCGAUACGGCCCAGACGCCUACGGGAGGCAGCAGUCGGGAAUAUGGCACAAUGGGCGGACGCCUGAUGCAGCGACGCCGCGUGCGUGAUGACGGCCUUCGGGUUAUAAACCGCUUUGGCCUGUGACGAAGCGUGGGUGACGGUAAUGGGUAAAUAAGCACCGGCUAACUACGUG
rnacentral:rRNA from 1 species